rnacentral:rRNA from 1 species
UUCCCGUACUUCUGACUAUUGCGAUGGGGGGACGGAGAAGGCUAGGUGGGCCAGGCGACGGUUGUCCUGGUUCAAGUGCGUAGGCUUGAGAGUUAGGUAAAUCCGGCUCUCUCUAAGGCUGAGACACGACGUCGAGCUACUACGGUAGUGAAGUCAUUGAUGCCAUGCUUCCAGGAAAAGCCUCUAAGCUUCAGAUAGUCAGGAAUCGUACCCCAAACCGACACAGGUGGUCGGGUAGAGAAUACCAAGGCGCUUGAGAGAACUCGGGUGAAGGAACUAGGCAAAAUGGUACCGUAACUUCGGGAGAAGGUACGCUCUUGAUGGUGAAGUCCCUCGCGGAUGGAGCUGACGAGAGUCGCAGAUACCAGGUGGCUGCAACUGUUUAUUAAAAACACAGCACUGUGCAAAAUCGCAAGAUGACGUAUACGGUGUGACGCCUGCCCGGUGCCGGAAGGUUAAUUGAUGGGGUUAGCGCAAGCGAAGCUCUUGAUCGAAGCCCCGGUAAACGGCGGCCGUAACUAUAACGGUCCUAAGGUAGCGAAAUUCCUUGUCGGGUAAGUUCCGACCUGCACGAAUGGCGUAAUGAUGGCCACGCUGUCUCCACCCGAGACUCAGUGAAAUUGAAAUCGCUGUGAAGAUGCAGUGUACCCGCGGCUAGACGGAAAGACCCCGUGAACCUUUACUACAGCUUGGCACUGAACAUUGAACCUACAUGUGUAGGAUAGGUGGGAGGCUAUGAAGACGUGACGCCAGUUGCGUUGGAGCCGUCCUUGAAAUACCACCCUUGUAUGUUUGAUGUUCUAACUUAGACCCAUUAUCUGGGUUGAGGACAGUGCCUGGUGGGUAGUUUGACUGGGGCGGUCUCCUCCCAAAGAGUAACGGAGGAGCACGAAGGUGGGCUAAUCACGGUUGGACAUCGUGAGGUUAGUGCAAUGGCAUAAGCCCGCUUAACUGCGAGAAUGACGGUUCGAGCAGGUGCGAAAGCAGGUCAUAGUGAUCCGGUGGUUCUGUAUGGAAGGGCCAUCGCUCAACGGAUAAAAGGUACUCCGGGGAUAACAGGCUGAUACCGCCCAAGAGUUCAUAUCGACGGCGGUGUUUGGCACCUCGAUGUCGGCUCAUCACAUCCUGGGGCUGAAGUCGGUCCCAAGGGUAUGGCUGUUCGCCAUUUAAAGUGGUACGCGAGCUGGGUUUAGAACGUCGUGAGACAGUUCGGUCCCUAUCUGCCGUGGGCGUUGGAAGAUUGAAGGGGGCUGCUCCUAGUACGAGAGGACCGGAGUGGACGAACCUCUGGUGUUCGGGUUGUGUCGCCAGACGCAUUGCCCGGUAGCUAAGUUCGGAAUUGAUAAGCGCUGAAAGCAUCUAAGCGCGAAGCGAGCCCUGAGAUGAGUCUUCCCUGACAGUUUAACUGUCCUAAAGGGUUGUUCGAGACUAGAACGUUGAUAGGCAGGGUGUGUAAGCGUUGUGAGGCGUUGAGCUAACCUGUACUAAUUGCCCGUGAGGCUUAACCAUACAACACCCAAGGGGUUUUGUA